rnacentral:rRNA from 1 species
UGGGGAAUAUUGGACAAUGGGGGGAACCCUGAUCCAGCCAUGCCGCGUGUGUGAAGAAGGCCUUAUGGUUGUAAAGCACUUUAAGCGAGGAGGAGGGUACUGGUAUUAAUACUACCAGGUACUGGACGUUACUCGCAGAAUAAGCACCGGCUAACUCUGUGCCAGCAGCCGCGGUAAUACAGAGGGUGCGAGCGUUAAUCGGAUUUACUGGGCGUAAAGCGUGCGUAGGCGGCUAAUUGAGUCGGAUGUGAAAUCCCCGAGCUUAACUUGGGAAUUGCAUUAGAUACUGGUUAGCUAGAGUGUGGGAGAGGAUGGUAGAAUUCCAGGUGUAGCGGUGAAAUGCGUAGAGAUCUGAGGAAUACCGAUGGCGAAGGCAGCCAUCUGGCCUAACACUGACGCUGAGGUACGAAAGCAUGGGGAGCAAACAGG